UACGGAAGGCAGCAGUGGGGAAUAUUGCACAAUGGGCGCAAGCCUGAUGCAGCCAUGCCGCGUGUAUGAAAAAGGCCUUCGGGUUGUAAAGUACUUUCAGUCGUGAGGAAGGUGUUAAGGUUAAUAACCUUAGCAAUUGACGUUAGCGACAGAAGAAGCACCGGCUAACUCCGUGCCAGCAGCCGCGGUAAUACGGAGGGUGCGAGCGUUAAUCGGAAUUACUGGGCGUAAAGGGCACGCAGGCGGUUAAUUAAGUUGGAUGUGAAAUCCCCGGGCUUAACCUGGGAAUGGCAUUCAAGACUGGUUAGCUAGAGUCUUGUAGAGGGGGUUAGAAUUCCAUGUGUAGCGGUGAAAUGCGUAGAGAUGUGGAGGAAUACCGGUGGCGAAGGCGGCCCCUGGACAAAGGACUGACGCUCAUGUGCGAAAGCGUGGGGAGCAAAC
rnacentral:rRNA from 1 species